rnacentral:rRNA from 1 species
GACGGUAGGGCGCGAGCGUGUCCCGGAUUUAUUGGGGCGUAAAAGAGCUCGUAGGCGGUUUGUCGCGUCUGCUGUGAAAACUCGGGGCUUAACCCCGGGCCUGCAGUGGGUCGGGCAGACUAGAGUGCGGUAGGGGAGACUGGAAUUCCUGGUGUAGCGGUGAAAUGCGCAGAUAUCAGGAGGAACACCGGUGGCGAAGGCGGGUCUCUGGGCCGUAACUGACGCUGAGGAGCGAAAGCGUGGGGAGCGAACAGG